CACGUAGGGGGCAAGCGUUCUCCGGAAUUACUGGGCGUAAAGGGUGCGUAGGCGGUCUGUUAAGUCGGAUGUGAAAGACCCGGGCUCAACCCGGGAUGUGCAUCCGAGACUGGCGGACUUGAGUGCAGGAGAGGGAAGUGGAAUUUCUAGUGUAGCGGUGGAAUGCGUAGAUAUUAGGAAGAACAUCAGUGGCGAAGGCGGCUUUCUGGACUGUAACUGACGCUGAGGCACGAAAGCGUGGGGAGCAAACAGG
rnacentral:rRNA from 1 species